rnacentral:rRNA from 1 species
GACGAACGCUGGCGGCGUGCCUAACACAUGCAAGUCGAGCGAGGAACUUCGGUUCCUAGCGGCGGACGGGUGAGUAACACGUGGGUAACCAGGCCCCUAGAGGGGGAUAGCCUUCCGAAAGGGAGAUUAAUACCGCAUAAGAAGCGAAAGUCGCAUGGCUUUAGCUUUAAAGGAGUAAUCCGCUAUGAGAUGGGCCCGCGGCGCAUUAGCUAGUUGGUGAGGUAAAGGCUCACCAAGGCGACGAUGCGUAGCCGACCUGAGAGGGUGAUCGGCCACAUUGGAACUGAGACACGGUCCAGACUCCUACGGGAGGCAGCAGUGGGGAAUAUUGCACAAUGGGCGAAAGCCUGAUGCAGCAACGCCGCGUGAGUGAUGACGGCCUUCGGGUUGUAAAGCUCUGUCUUUGGGGACGAUAAUGGCGGUACCCAAGGAGGAAGCCACGGCUAACUACGUGCCAGCCGCCGCCGUAAUAC